AGCGAGCAAACAUUAUGUUACAAUCGUGGUUGGGUCAAACAAUAUGUGGAAAGCAAAAGUAGCGAAGCUAAAGAGAUUAAAAUUGGAUUUAGUGCGUAUAUUUGAAAAAAAUUACCACCAAAUAUGGUAUCCCCCCCCCCGUUCACAACACUUGUGACGUCAUUUACAUACGGGACUUCUGGGGCGGGUUUUGGCGGGAAAAUCUGUAAUGUUUGGAGAAGACAAGAUGGCGCCGGUUACCUCCUGUCAUAUCAAAGGGCAUUUUUGUUCACAAAUACCCGCUUAUUUUACGUUAUAGCGACUGGUUAGUUUUGGAAAUUAUAACUCAAUGGACGGGGAAAACGAUUCUGUAUUAAAGAGAAAAAGAUGUGCAGUUAUUGUGAUGUUAUUUGUUGUGAAAGACGGCCCGAAAUUUCGCUACAUCGCAGUACUGGUUUAUAAAACAUUUACAAGCAACAGCAAUUGAACUAUAUGACAAAGAAACCAAUAUAUACAAGCUAAUCAAUUUCUUCUGUUUAAAGGUCAG